rnacentral:rRNA from 1 species
GAUGAACGCUGGCGGCGUGCCUAAUACAUGCAAGUCGAGCGAACGGACGAGAAGCUUGCUUCUCUGAUGUUAGCGGCGGACGGGUGAGUAACACGUGGAUAACCUACCUAUAAGACUGGGAUAACUUCGGGAAACCGUAGCUAAUACCGGAUAAUAUUUUGAACCGCAUGGUUCAAAAGUGAAAGACGGUCUUGCUGUCACUUAUAGAUGGAUCCGCGCUGCAUUAGCUAGUUGGUAAGGUAAAGGCUUACGAAGGCAACGAUGCAUAGCCGACCGGAGAGGGUGAUCGGCCACACUGGAACUGAGACACGGUCCAGACGCCUACGGGAGGCAGCAGUAGGGAAUCUUCCGCAAUGGGCGAAAGCAUGACGGAGCAACGCCGCGUGAGUGAUGAAGGUCUUCGGAUCGUAAAACUCUGUUAUUAGUGAAGAACAUAUGUGUAAGUAACUGUGCACAUCUUGACGGUACCUAAUCAGAAAGCCACGGCUAACUACGUG